rnacentral:rRNA from 1 species
AGCUCUGUAAGCGUAUACCAAAGUUGUUGCAGUUAAAACGCUCGUAGUCGUAGCUUGGCGAUUCCGGGUGUGAGCACGUCGUGUGCACGCGCUGCGGGGAUUGCUUUUGUGGGUUUGCGUAAGAUGAGGCACUUUCAUUAGUGAACGUCUUCACGCAUCCACUGUUUACUGUGAGAAAAUCAGAGUGCUCAAAGCAGGCAGUUGCCGUGAAUGUAUUAGCAUGGAAUAAUAGAAUAGGACUCGGUUCUAUUUUGUUGGUUUGUUGGGACUGAGUAAUGAUUAAGAGGGACAGUUGGGGGCAUUUGUAUUUCGUCGCUAGAGGUGAAAUUCUUAGAUUGACGAAAGACAAACUGCUGCGAAAGCGUCUGCCAAGGAUGUUUUCAUUGAUCAAGAACGAAAG